rnacentral:rRNA from 1 species
UACGUAGGGGGCAAGCGUUGUCCGGAAUCAUUGGGCGUAAAGCGCGUGUAGGCGGCUGAGUAAGUCCGCUCUGAAAGCCCGGGGCUCAACCCCGGGAGGCGGGUGGAUACUGCUCAGCUCGAGUCCGGAAGAGGAGUGUGGAAUUCCUGGUGUAGCGGUGAAAUGCGCAGAUAUCAGGAGGAACAACCAAUGGCGAAGGCAGCACUCUGGGACGGUACUGACGCUGAGACGCGAAAGCGUGGGGAGCAAACAGG